rnacentral:rRNA from 1 species
UACGGAGGGUGAGAGCGUUAAUCGGAAUUACUGGGCGUAAAGGGCGCGUAGGCGGUUAGGUGAGUCGGAUGUGAAAGCCCCGGGCUUAACCUGGGAACUGCAUUCGAUACUGCCUGGCUAGAGUAUGGUAGAGGGAAGUGGAAUUCCGGGUGUAGCGGUGAAAUGCGUAGAUAUCCGGAGGAACACCAGUGGCGAAGGAGGCUUCCUGGACCAAUAAUGACGAUGAGGCGCGAAAGCGUGGGGAUCAAACAGG